GAUGAUUGCUUUAGACUGUGGUCUGUGCAGAGGUGGGGGUGACCGAGAGUAAGGCUGUUUGCAGAUACCGCACAUUCCUUAACUCACCUGUCCACCUGGAGAUCUUUUCAUACUGAGCGAAAGACAGAACCAGCCACGGGCUUCAUCGAUGGAGACUUGAUCGAGAGUUUCCUGGACAUCAGCCGGCCCAAGAUGCAGGAGGUUGUGGCAAACCUACAGUAUGAUGAUGGCAGCGGGAUGAAGCGAGAGGCCACGGCAGAUGACCUGAUCAAGGUUGUGGAGGAGCUGACGCGGAUCCAUUAGCCCAGGGCUGGGAGCCCCUUUCCCAGGCCCUCCCCGAAGGCUUUGCUCUCCUGCCCUGCUCCCCUCCCCCACCAUUGUCUUCUCAGCCGUGGGAAGCCUUUCCCUAAGCCAGCUGUCCCAGAAGCCACAGUCUACCUGUGUGGAAAUGGGGAUUUCUUUGAACUAAAACCAGUUCACUGGAGACCUGGGAAUGGGGUGAAGGUGGAAUAUUUUCUCCCUGGAUUUUUACCAGUCCCAGAGGAUUCCAACCAUCACUUUGGACACCAAGGAUUGAUUGGUGUUGCCAGUUGUCCUCCUUCCAGGGAGGGAUUUUGCAGCUCUUGGGCUGAAAGGAAGCUCUGUGCGUGUGCUGUGUGUGUGUGUGUGUGUGUGUGUGUGUGUGUGUCGCGCGCACGUGCGUGUGUCUCUCACACUCAUGCGUUGUCCUCUGCUAUCUUUUUAUUUAGGUUGGGGGUGCGGGGAGGCCGUGAGUAGGGGGAAGAGAGGCGAGAUGGGUUCAUUGUCUCUGAAGUGAGAGCUUCCUUUUGCUUUCUCUGUUGCCUGAGAGCUUUGGGUCUGGAGGCCUGACCACCAGGCCAUGAGCUGCCCGAGUCUGAAACCUGGAGAUGGUGGGUGAUACCCAAGCCGCCAUAGCCUUUUUAUCUCUGGGGAGCUGCCUUCUUCAGAGGGAAGGAGGUGGGGGGCCGUGAAUUGGUUGUUAGUUUCUGAGUUUUACCAAAUAAAGUAGAAUCUAAGAAGAAAGAUC